rnacentral:rRNA from 1 species
AUUGAACGCUGGCGGCAGGCCUAACACAUGCAAGUCGAGCGGAGCGGCAGCCGGGGGAGUAAUGCUUAGGAAUCGGCCUGGUCCUGGGGGAUAACGUCCGCAACCGGGCGCUAACACCGCAUACUAUCAGAUGAGCCUAGGUGGGAUUAGCUAGUGGGUGGGGUAAAGGCCUACCAAGGCGACGAUCCGUAACUGGUCCGAGAGGAUGAUCAGUCACACUGGAACUGAGACACGGUCCAGACUCCUACGGGAGGCAGCAGUGGGGAAUAUUGGACAAUGGGGGAAAGCCUGAUGCAGCCAUGCCGCGUGUGUGAAGAAGGUCUUCGGAUUGUAAAGUACUUUAAGUUGGGAGGCGUUACCGACAGAAUAAGCACCGGCUAACUUCGUGCCAGCAGCCGCGGUAAUUC